UAUUUCGGACUAAGGAGUUCAAGGAUAUUAUUCAUCGUUCAUAAAUAACGUGGUCUCUUCAAAACAAGAUUACUAAUUUAUGGUAUGAGGAAGAGUCGUAGAUCGCCCACAAGAUACGGAGCAGGUUAAAGGUGAAACGCCUUGUGGUUCAAGAAAGGAGGAAAGUUGAUAUAG